rnacentral:rRNA from 1 species
CCUACGGGGGGCAUCAGUGGGGAAUAUUGGGCAAUGGGCGAAAGCCUGACCCAGCGACGCCGCGUGGGUGAUGAAGGCCUUCGGGUUGUAAAGCCCUGUCAUGCGGAAAGAACAGUCUUACGGUUAAUACCCGUGAGAUUUGACGGUACCGCAGGAGGAAGCACCGGCUAACUCCGUGCCAGCAGCCGCGGUAAUACGGAGGGUGCAAGCGUGGGUCGGAAUUAUUGGGCGGAUAGUACACGUCGGCUGUGAAAUACUUCGGCGCAACUGAAGAACUGCAUCUGAAACUUCAUAACUAGAGUACAGAAGAGGGAAAUGGAAUUCCCGGUGUAGAGGUGAAAUUCGUAGAUAUCGGGAGGAACACCAGUGGCGAAGGCGAUUUCCUGGUCUGAUACUGACGCUGAGGCGUGAAAGUGUGGGGAGCAAACAGGAUUAGAUACCCGUGUAGUC